UCCUGCCUGCUCUCAAAAGACCACAGCAGGCAGAUUACUGUGCAGGAGAACUUCUUCAUCUGUUUGGGGAAAGCAGGGGCAAGAGUUCUACCCACAGGGGACACCUAUCAAAGGGAGGAACUCCUGGAACUGACUGGUCACUAAAGAACCUGUGGAGUCACAGAGUGGCCUUGCCAGAACCACAUGACAUUAGCACAGAUGGCCUUGACCACGUUAAUGACAUUUCCAUGGCAAGAUCCAUAUCAUUGACAUUUCUUGCAAUCCCAGAAUCUGCAAGCAGCAUGAAGUUCUCUAAACAGGACUGACCUGACAGAAAAGCCCCCAUGUGUCCAGCACAGUGCAGCCACCCCAGACAUUCAGAGCAGCAUUCCCAGCAUGAAUCAGACACAUCCACAUCCUCUGGCACUGCUGGAGAUGGAGAACAUCAUCCAAAACUGUGCAUGGAAUCACCACCAGGAUCAUCCCAAGCUCUGUGAGGUCCAGGGAGGGGAUUCUCCUCUUUGCUCUCAUGAGAUCCCACCCAGAGUGCUGUGCCCACUUUGGAUGUCCCAAGAUCAGAAGGAUCUGGAACUGCUGGAGCAAGUCCAGAGGAGGCCAUGAGGUUGAUAAGGGGACUGGGACACCUUCCUUAUGGAGAGAAGAUGGGAGAGGUGGGGCUGUUCGGCCUGGAGAAGAGAAGGUUGUGUGGAGAAGCUUCCAGUGUCUGAAGGGGCUACAAGAAACCUGGAGAGGAGCAAUUCAUCAGGAACUGGAGUGCUCCCUAAAAAGAGAUGUGACUCUCUGCAAGUGAUGCUUCCAAUGCAUAAGGAGCUCUGGCCCCGGAGCCUGGUCAGGGGCAGCUCAAUAAUAACGAUCUAAGGCUGGUCUUCAGUAGAGACUCAACAGCUGACAGCUCUUCUGUUCAAACUGACAAGGGCACAAAGGAAGGCUUGAAUAAUUAAUUGUGAGUGCUUGGAUGUGGUUUGAUUGUGUGACCAACCUGUUACAUCGACUUGCUUUCACCUAAUCUUUCAAAAUGAGGUAUUAAAACUGAAACUCUGCUAUUCUUCCUUAUUUGCUGGUUGUCUCUUCCUCAGCCUGCAGGAUGAGCCCUCCAUGGGAUGGAAGGUGGGGAAGGAGAGCCCUGAUCACACGUGAGUGAAUAGGACUCUGUGCAAAAACCCAGCCUAGCCUCUAUGAAAAGUACUUUUAAAUUCUAUUACAUGGAUGUAGCCAUCAAUAAAAUAAGUAAAAGAAAAAAGGAUGGAAAAAAAUGUGGGACAUUAGCAAAGGUAACAGCUAUUCACUUAUUAACUUCUUCCUACCACAAAAAAAAAACCCCAAAUGCACAAAAAACCCCCCCAAAACUCCAAAGCCCUAAAAGACCAAAAAAACCUCCCAGCAAAUGAUAAAAAUUAUCUUAGGAAUGUAUUUGGGCAUAUUUGCAUAAUAAACGAAAAUAAAUGAAAUCCAAAAAGACCCAAACCAAACCAAAAAAAGUCCUAAAAGACCCAAAAACCAACCCCUGGAAAAAAUAAAACAAAAACAAAACCAAACCAACCCUAAAAAAAAAAAUCAAAACUCCAACAUCUUUCUCACUUCAUUUCUGAGAUAUUUUUCAGCUAACUUUUCAUACACCAAUUUCCCACUUGAAUAGAAACUGCAGACACCUGAACAUUCAGAGCCAAGUCAUAUGAUAAACACCAUCUCAAACAUA